rnacentral:rRNA from 1 species
CUACGGGCUGCACCAGUGAGGAAUAUUGCACAAUGGGGGGAACCCUGAUGCAGCAACGCCGCGUGGAGGAUGACGCAUUUCGGUGUGUAAACUCCUUUUAUAUGUCAAGAAAAUGACGGUAGCAUAUGAAUAAGCACCGGCUAACUCCGUGCCAGCAGCCGCGGUAAUACGGAGGGUGCAAGCGUUACUCGGAAUCACUGGGCGUAAAGGACGCGUAGGCGGGUUGGAAAGUCAGGUGUGAAAUCCUACAGCUUAACUGUAGAACUGCACUUGAAACUUCUAAUCUAGAGUAUGGGAGGGGGAGAUGGAAUUAGUGGUGUAGGGGUAAAAUCCGUAGAUAUCACUAGGAAUACCUAAAGCGAAGGCGAUCUCCUGGAACAUUACUGACGCUAAGGCGUGAAAGCGUGGGGAGCAAACAGGGUUAGGUACCCCCGUAGUC